rnacentral:rRNA from 1 species
GACGUAGGGCGCGAGCGUUGUCCGGAUUUAUUGGGCGUAAAGAGCUCGUAGGCGGCUUGUCGCGUCGACUGUGAAAGCCCCCGGCUCAACUGGGGAGGGUCACUCGAUACUGAUCGACUUGAAGGCAGGAGAGGGAAGCGGAAUUCCCGGUGUAGUGGUGAAAUGCGUAGAGAUCGGGAGGAACACCCGUGGCGAAGGCGGAUCUCUGGGCCAUUACUGACGCUGAGGAGCGAAAGCGUGGGGAGCGAACAGG